ACGCUCGACACCUACGGGGGCAGCAGUGGGGAAUAUUGGGCAAUGGAGGCAACUCUGACCCAGCAACGCCGCGUGAGUGAUGAAGGUCUUCGGAUUGUAAAACUCUUUAAGUAGGGACGAAGAAAGUGACGGUACCUACAGAAUAAGCCUCGGCUAACUACGUGCCAGCAGCCGCGGUAAUCUGAGCGGGCUGGCAAGGC
rnacentral:rRNA from 1 species